UGGAAACUUCCUGAAAAGUUGUCAAGGG
rnacentral:piRNA from 1 species